AAUUUGACAUGAAAAUCCAUGCAAUACUAUGUAUGCAAUACUAUCUGUCUUGCUGUGAUAUUUCAGGCUGUAACUUGCGUGCAACAUUCCAUGUCCCUUGUGAACAGUGGGACAGCACAAACACUCUACAUUGUUUUCAUGAACAGUGCACAAUUGUCAAGGACUGCGAAACAACCUCAUGCUGCUCUUUUUGGUGCCUAUGUCUGCGUAAAAUAAGAAAAACACACCCUUCUGCUGGGUUGGGAGUGAGUAAGUAAACAACCUGCUCCCAGUGGCAGCUCCGCUAACCUGUACAUCGUCCAUUACUCAUACUCCGGCUCAAGUGGUUUCUCCCUGGUAAGUCUCUCACUCUGUCUUCCAGCAGUAGAGAAUCUCACACACCCCAAGGUGUAAGGCAAAAUGCCAAGGCUUGUCUCAGAGCCCAUUGAUCUAAAGGAAACCAGGGGCACCAGGGCAUCCGAAAGCGGUCCCUUUUUUACUCACAUGCUGACAUGUUCCACACCCAAUUAACCUCCAGACACACUCAUCUUAAAACAGAUUAUCCUCGAUAGCAUACAUGCUAGAACGGACGAAUGUGAUAACAAAUCAUGCUCUUAACUUGAGCUUUUCUAGUUACUGCACCGAUUCUCAGAAAGCAAAUAAUAUAAUGAUUUAAAUUACCAACAAUUAACAAACGAGGGGAAAUUGCUGUACUGUUCUGGCAUCCUACCCUAUGUUCAUAAUCACCUAAUGAUAGCGAGAGGUUUCAUCUCCUGUGUAGGUAAAACGCUCAGCAGACUUUCUUGAUCAUCAUCAUCAUCAUCAUAUUUUUUGUGACUUAAGCAUCUUUGCCAGAAGACAGUAUGCCAUCUGUUUGGGUUUCAUAUGCCAGUUCAGGUGGAUAUUAGCCUACAGAAAGUACCUUACACACAUACGCACGCACGCUUAAAUAUAUUUCGCCAAAGCAUGAGGCUCUGUGCAUGACAUUCCUCCAAGAUGCAGGACAAACUGAAAACAUUCCUGUUGAAAAUACCUGUAUAGGAAAUGCACUGGUUUUGGCCAGAGCUUCUUAAUCUGGCAGGACAUAACGGAUCUCCAUUACAGCUAGAGUUGGACUACAGUGUGAACGAGUCUAUUUGAAUCUAUUGU
ensembl:lncRNA